AGAUACCCUGUUACUUAUAAUUAAAAAAUUUUGGAAUAGUAAUAAUAAUGAAAUUUAACGGAUUUGGCGGCAAGAUAGCCAUUUAGAGGAACCUGCCCUAUAAACGAUGAACCACGAAAUACUUUACUUUUACUUGUUAUCAGUUUGUAUACCGCUGUUGUCAGUCAGUUUUUCUAGAAAUCUUUCUACUAUGAUAAAAUCAAAUACUUCAAGUAAAGGUGCAGCUUAUGUAAAAGAUAGAGGUGGGUUACAUUUAUGAAGAUUAAAACGAAUAAAGAUUUUUUGAAAAAUACUUUUGAAGGUGGAUUUAAAUGUAAAGUUUAAAAAAACU
rnacentral:rRNA from 1 species